CCUACGGGAGGCAGCAGUGAGGAAUAUUGGUCAAUGGGCGAAAGCCUGAACCAGCCAAGCCGCGUGCAGGAUGACGGCCCUAUGGGUUGUAAACCUCUUUUGUCGGAGAACAACACCCCUGACGUGUAUCGCUCUGCAUGUACCGUAAGAAAAAGCAUAGGCUAACUCCAUGCCAGCCGCCGCGGUAAUACGGAGGAUGCGGGCGUUAUCCGGAUUUAUUUGGUUAAGAGGGGGCGUAGGCGGUCCGUUAAGUCAGCGGUAAAAUUACGGGGCUCAGCCCCGGCCAGCCGGUGAGACUGGCAGACUUGAGUUGGAGAGAGGUAGGCGGAAUUCGUGGUGUAGCGGUGAAAUGCAUAGAUAUAACGAAGAACUCCGAUGGCGAAGGCAGCUUACUGGAGCUAGACUGACGCUGAGGCACGAAAGCGUGGGGAUCGAACAGGAUUAGAUACCCGAGUAGUC
rnacentral:rRNA from 1 species